rnacentral:rRNA from 1 species
ACAAGCUGAGAAACGGCUAGUAGGACUAAGGUCUGCAGCAGGCGCGAAACUUACACAAUGCUAGAUUCAUUUGAGAAAUAGCGAUGUAGUGAAGAAAAAUAACGAUGUGCUUCCUUUUAAACAAGGUUGCACAAUUGGAAUGAGACGACUUUAAAACAGUCAGUCGAGUAACAAAUGGAGGGCAAGUCUGGUGCCAGCAGCCGCGGUAAUUCCAGCUCCAUUAGCAUACAUUAAAGUUGUUGCGGUUAAAAAGCUCGUAGUUGAAUGUCUGGCGGGCCGUUGGGCGGGUGGUGCGAUAAGGCUUGUCUCUCGAGACUAGCUGCGCCUCCUUUGCCCUCUAGGUCCGUCGUUUCGUCACUUAAUCGAGUGCGAAGCGUGUCGGAGUUGAUAGAACUUCGGUUCUUUAACCACCGACUAGUUUACCUUGAGAAAAUUAGAGUGCUCAGCGCAGGCAGUCGGGGUGUAAAAGCCCCUUUAUGCUUGAAUAAUGUUGCAUGGAAUAAUAGAAUACGGCCUCGGUUCUAUUCUGUUGGUCUUAUAGAACAACAAACAAGUUGGUGCGGGCGAUCAAUGGUUGUCUGUGGUGUGGGUUUAAUAGAAAUCGUGCUGUCUGCGGCCUCAAAAUCGCAGUACCUCAUUUCUUUAGACCCGUAAAAGCACCGCAAACAAACAUGCCCACACACCAACUGAGGCAAUGGUUAAAAGAAAUAGUCGCGGCGGCAUCAGUACUGCAUCGUGAGAG